UACGUAGGGGGCAAGCGUUGUCCGGAUUUACUGGGCGUAAAGGGCGCGUAGGCGGCCUCCGCAAGUCGACUGUGAAAUCUCUGGGCUUAACCCAGAACGGUCAGCCGAUACUGCGGGGCUAGAGUGCAGAAGGGGCAACUGGAAUUCUCGGUGUAGCGGUGAAAUGCGUAGAUAUCGAGAGGAACACCUGCGGCGAAGGCGGGUUGCUGGGCUGACACUGACGCUGAGGCGCGAAAGCGUGGGGAGCAAACAGG
rnacentral:rRNA from 1 species